rnacentral:rRNA from 1 species
AUGGAGAGCAACUUCCUCGUGCAGACCCCCGGCGGUGGGGCGCUGAUCCAAUUGGAGCUCGUCAAGGCGGCCGGGGGUGAGGAGUUAAUGGUUCGCGUGCUGGACGAGUGCGGUGGGACGUGGGAGGAGGAGGACGACAUCGGCAAUGUUGUGGUGCCCAUGGAUGCGUCCGGCACGGUGGCUGUGUCCACGAAGGAGUGCCCCGGGCUGAGGCCCAGCACCGUCUAUUAUAGGGACCUCAACAGCGGUGAGACGUGGGUUCGAGCGUACAGCCUCGCGGGCAAGCACAAGAAUGUCGAGGUCGUUGAGUCCCUCUCCAGGGCGGAGGGAAACAAGUGGUCGUGA